GGUAAAAAAGCUCGUAGUUGGAUUUCUGUUGAGGAGGACUGGUCUGUGCCACGCACAUGCAUCUAGCUCCGCCUCGGCAUCAUCUCGAUUUGGAUUUCUGCGCUUAGUCGCGUGGAGUUUGUAUCGGGACUUUUACUUUGAGGAAAUUAGAGUGUUCACGGCAGGCUAUCGCCAGAAUACAUUAGCAUGGAAUAAUACUAUAGGAUCUCGAUUCUAUUUUGUUGGUUUCUAGAAGCGAGAUAAUGAUUAAUAGGGACAAUUGGGGGCAUUCGUAUCAACACGUCAGAGGUGGAAUUCUUGGAUUGUGUUGCGACGAACUACUGCGAAAGCAUUUGCCAAGGAUGUUUUCAUUGAUCAAGAACGAAAGUAAGGGGAUCGAAGACGAUUAGAUACCGUCGUAGUCUUUACCAUAAACUAUGCCAACUAGAGAUGGGACAUCGUUCGCUUACGACUUGUUCCGCACCUUAUGAGAUAUCAAAGUUUUUGGGUUCCGGGGGGAGUAUGGUCGCAAGGCUGAAACUUAAAGGAAUUGACGGAAGGGCACCACCAGGAGCGGAGCCUGCGGCUUAAUUUGACUCAACACGGGGAAACUCACCAGGUCCAGACAUAAUAAGGAUUGACAGGUUGAUAGCUCUUUCUUGAUUUUAUGGGUGGUGGUGCAUGGCCGUUCUUAGUUCGUGGAGUGAUUUGUCUGCUUAAUUGCGUUAACGAA
rnacentral:rRNA from 1 species